UCUCUGCCACCCCUGGCACACUGGAUUUCAUUCGAUUUUGGAAGCUAAGCAGGGUCAGGAAUGGUUUAUAUUUGGAGGGGAGACUAUGGGGAGAACCAGGGAGAA
rnacentral:rRNA from 1 species